rnacentral:rRNA from 1 species
GUGGAGCAUACUCCCGGGAAACUGGGGCUAAUUCUCCAUAGUGGAUGUAUCCUGGAAUGGUAUAUCCUCGAAAGAUCCGUCGCCUUAGGAUGGGACUGCGUCCGAUUAGGUUGUUGGCGGGGUAACGGCCCACCAAGCCAUUGAUCGGUACGGGUUGUGGGAGCAAGAUCCCGGAGAUGGAUUCUGAGACAUGAAUCCAGGCCCUACGGGGCGCAGCAGGCGCGCAAACUUUACAAUGCGAGCAAUCGUGAUAAGGAAACCCUGAGUGCCUGUCGAUGCAGGCUGUUCAUAUAUCUAAAUCAUAUGUGAAGAAAGGGCAGGGCAAGACCGGUGCCAGCCGCCGCGGUAAUACCGGCUGCUCGAGUGAUGGCCACUAUUACUGGGUUUAAAGCGUCCGUAGCUUGACUGUUAGGUCUCUUGGGAAAUCUUCGCGCUUAACGUGAAGGCGUCUAAGAGAUACCGGCAGUCUUGGAACUGGGAGAGGUAAACCGUACUUCGGGGGUAGGAGUGAAAUCUUGUAAUCCUCGAGGGACGACCUAUGGCGAAGGCAGUUUACCAGAACAGCUUCGACAGUGAGGGACGAAAGCUGGGGGAGCAAACGGGAUUAGAUACCCCGGUAGUCCCAGCCGUAAACAAUGUGCGUUAGGUGUGUCGGUAACCACGUGUUACUGAUGCGCCGAAGAGAAAUCGUGAAACGCACCACCUGGGAAGUACGGUCGCAAGGCUGAAACUUAAAGGAAUUGGCGGGGGAGCACCACAACAGGUGGAGCCUGCGGUUUAAUUGGAGUCAACGCCGGG